UCAGAACGUCACGUUCAUCUCUGGCGAUGGUGGCUUCAGCAAGACCUUAGAUCUUUUGACUGAAGCGGGUGUCAUUUGGUGGUUGUGGUUACAAACGAGAGGGAAAAAGAUCCGCGUACUUACCUUCAGUGGACGAUGAGAGAGUGUCUCAGUCUCCCACCUGAACGAGUCUACAAGAAUUCUAGUGAAGCAAAACAAGCCACCGAUAAGAAAGCUAGAAGUAGAGCUCAUUUGAAAACUCUUCGUAAGAGUAGAGUUCAGGCUAGGAAGGAUGAACUAGAGAAAGCAAAGAGCAUUGUACAGCUGCCUGAUGGAUCUGUCCAGAUUUCAUUGCAUUGGAAAACCAUACGCAGAAGACAGUAAUCAGAAGUAUUGAUGAUGAUUGUGUAUCAGUUGUUGGAGUUGACGAUAUGGGAACUAACAAGGAGAUCAUGGAAGAAAUAGGAAGGAGGAUUGGUAAAA